rnacentral:rRNA from 1 species
AUUGAACGCUGGCGGCAGGCCUAACACAUGCAAGUCGAGCGGAUGAAGGGAGCUUGCUCCUGGAUUCAUCGGCGGACGGGUGAGUAAUGCCUAGGAAUCUGCCUGGAAGUGGGGGAUAACGUCCGGAAACGGGCGCUAAUACCGCAUACGUACUGAGGGAGAAAGUGGGGGAGCUUCGGACCUCACGCUAUCAGAUGAGCCUAGGUCGGAUUAGCUAGUUGGUGGGGUAAAGGCCUACCAAGGCGACGAUCCGUAACUGGUCUGAGAGGAUGAUCAGUCAGACUGGAAGUGAGAAACGGUCCAGACUCCGACGGGAGGACGCAGUGGGGAAUAUUGGACGAUGGGGGAAAGCCUGAUCCAGCCAUGCCGCGUGUGUGAAGAAGGUCUUCUGCUUGGUAAGCACUUUAAGUUGGGAGGAAGUGCAGUAAGUUAAUACCUUGCUGUUUUGACGUUACCAACAGAAUAAGCACCGGCUAACUUCGUG